ensembl:snRNA U6 U6 spliceosomal RNA
GUUUCCUCUUUGGCAGCACAGGUAUUAAAACUGGAACAGUACAGAUGGGAUUAGCAUGGCCCCUGGGCAAUGACAAUCAAAUUCCUGAAGUGUUCCAUAUUUGU